GCCUGGGUAGCUCAGUCGGUUAAGCGUCUGACUUCAGCUCAGGUCAUGAUCUCACAGUCCGUGAGUUCGAGCCCCGCGUCAGGCU
rnacentral:tRNA from 1 species